GAGACAAGCAUAUGACUACUGGCAGGAUCAACCAGGUAGCAUUCCUCCAGGACGUCCGCGCGCCGCCCUUGCACCGCCGGGGCGAUCAAGGGGCGAGAGCGGCCGUCUCACACUAUACACACAUAUCGGGGCUCCUCUUAGGACUGGGACGUGAGUCCCCGUCCGCGGCGUGCGCUGGGUCCAAGAGCGUUGCACUCCCCCCGCGCGCCACGCGACCGGUGAAGGCUCUGGUGGAACACGGGGGGCGCUUCAUUGUCCUCCCGCGCCGAUUAGAAGGCGCCGGACGGAGGCUAACUGCAUGUGGCCUGCUUCCCCCCGGGGGGUAGGCAGCACAAGCCAGCCCCGGAGGCACCAUCAUAUCCCACCUCGCACCGACCCACGCGGAUCGCCUGCCGACCGUUCGGUGGACGAGCACGGAGCCGGCCGGCAGUCACAAUCCAAACCCCCCCCCC
rnacentral:misc_RNA from 1 species